GCCGGCGUGACGGAACUGGCAGACGCGCAGGACUUAAAAUCCUGUGUGGCAACACAGUACCGGUUCGAUUCCGGUCGCCGGCA
rnacentral:tRNA from 1 species